AUGUCUUCCUCCAGCGCCACCCCAAGCAAUCUCGGUCAGGUCACGGAGAAGCUCUCCCGGACGAACUACGUCCUGUGGCGAACUCAGGUUACGCCGCAGCUAAGGGGAGCUGGGCUCUUCGGCUACGUCGACGGAACGAUGCCGGAACCCACCCGCCGCCUCGUCACCAAGGACAAGGACGGCAAGGAGUCGUCGACGCCCAAUCCUCUCCAUCCCAUCUGGGUGAGGGAAGAUCAACAAGUGCUCGGCUACCUCCUCAACAACCUCUCCAAGGAAGUGUUGAUCGCGGUGACCACGGUCACCACCGCGCACGCCCUCUGGGUGGCGCUUGCAGGCAUGUUUUCCUCUCAAUCUUUGAGCCGUGUAAACAAUAUUCGUACUGCCUUGAUCAAU
rnacentral:rRNA from 1 species